rnacentral:rRNA from 1 species
AGCGUGUGGUUUAAUUCGAUGCAAGCGAAGAACCUUUACCAGGGUUUGCAUGCUUAAAGUAGGAACUCGAAAGAGGGACGACCUGUAUCCAGUCAGGAGUUUGCACAGGUGCUGCAUGGCUGUCGUCAGCUCGUGCCGUGAGGUGUUAGGUUAAGUCCUGCAACGAGCGCAACCCUCGUCGCUAGUUGCUUUCUCUAGCGAUACUGCCCGUAUAACGUGGAGGAAGGUGGGGAUGACGUCAAGUCAGCAUGGCCCUUACAUCCUGGGCUACACACACGCUACAAUGGGUGAUACAACAGGUUGCAAUAGAGUAAUCUGGAGCCAAUCCCUAAAAUCAUCCUCAGUACGGAUUGCAGGCUGCAACUGCCUGCAUGAAGUUGGAGUUGCUAGUAAACGCAGGUCAGCACACUGCGUUGAAUACGUUCUCGGGCCUU